GAUGAACGCUGGCGGCGUGCUUAAUACAUGCAAGUCGAACGGAGACUGUAGCAAUACUGUCUUAGUGGCGAACGGGUGAGUAACGCGUUGGUGACCUGCCCCGAAGAGGGGGAUAACAGUCCGAAAGGAUUGCUAAUACCCCAUGUGGUCGUUUGGAUUAGAUGCCUUACGACUAAACGGAUUUAUUCGCUUCGGGAGGGGCCUGCGUCCCAUCAGCUAGUUGGUAGGGUAAUAGCCUACCAAGGCGAUGACGGGUAGGGGACCUGAGAGGGUGGCCCCCCACAAUGGAACUGAAACACGGUCCAUACACCUACGGGUGGCAGCAGUAGGGAAUAUUGGUAAUCUGGGGAAACCGGGAACCAGCAACGCCGCGUGCGCGAUGAAGGCCUUCGGGUUGUAAAGCGCUUUUUAAAGGGAUGAGGAAGGACAGUACCUUUAGAAUAAGCCUCGGCUAACUACGUG
rnacentral:rRNA from 1 species